GACAGAGGGGGCAAGCGUUGCUCGGAAUCACUGGGCGUAAAGGGCGCGUAGGCGGGAUGGCAAGUCAGUCGUGAAAUCUCUCGGCUCAACCGAGAAACGUCGGCUGAUACUGCCGUUCUUGAGGGAUGCAGAGGAGACUGGAGUUCCCGGUGUAGCGGUGAAAUGUGUAGAGAUCGGGAGGAACACCGGUGGCGAAGGCGGGUCUCUGGGCAUUUCCUGACGCUGAGGCGCGAAAGCGUGGGGAGCAAACGGG
rnacentral:rRNA from 1 species